rnacentral:lncRNA from 1 species
UCGAAGACGGCUUCCAAAUUUAAACAGCCCUGAAGCUUGCAAAAAUAAUCUUCGGCGACAGCGAUUGGGCUAGAAAGUAGCGUGUAGCGGAUGCGUGAUGGCGCUAUGGCAGUGGAGCGAUGUAAACCUGCCGCCGUAGUCCAGACUCCAAAAACGUUCAGUAGUUGCCAAUUCUUCCUUUUCCAUUUUUGUGCUGAUGAUGCAUAAUAAUAAUACUCCUGGAAAAAAAACCACUACUUUAGCGACUAUUUGCAACGCAUCGUUUCGUACUGAUUUGAGAAACAUAAUGCGUGCUGUACAUACUCACAUUUUGACACACAAACAUUUGAGGAACUUCAGCCAUUGGCCGUGAGCAACCACUAAACAAGGCGUGUGUUUGGAUUGUGACUGAUAUUUGGCUCACAUGCUCACGUGCAAUUUAUUUUUUGGUAGAAGAAGUUCACUUUAGGUCCCUCAUUUUUUGCGAAAGUCUGUUUUUCAUCUCUGAACUUUAAAACUGGGUAAAAUACAUCCUUUAACUUUUGAAAUCGUGCAUAUUAUGUCCCUGACAUGAUUAUGAGCGGUUUUGAAGACAGUUUUGUCUUUUUUUAUUUUUAUUUAUUUUCAGCUGAAUAUUUGUAAAAUUAUAGUAAAUCACAUAAAAUUCAUAAAAUAGUAAAUCUAAUUUUGUUGGACUUCAUAUAAGUAGAUCUACACAGUGAACAUAUAAUAUGAUAUGCUUUAGUAUAAAGUUUUUGUUAUAGCUUUAGAUCUGUGUUUUUUAUAAUUAAUUAGAAUAAUUCAUAGCUAUAGUUUAUAUGGUCCAAUUGUGGUGAACUUUUUAUGUUGGGCUAAUUAUUAUAUGUUUAAACUGUGGUAAAAAUUUCAUAGUCAUUAGAUCAUGUAUAACUUAGUUAUAGAUUUAUUAAGAUUUAACAAGCAUAAACCUAAAUAAAUCUAUAACUAAGUAAUACAUGAUCCAAUGAGUAUGAAAUUUUUACUAAAACUCAGUCAUAGAAUAAUUAUCCCACCAUCUAAAUUUCAUCAUAAUUGGACCAUAGAAACUGUAGCUAUAAUUAGUUUAAUUAAUUACGAAAAGCAUAGAUCUAAAGCUGCAUCAAAAAAUUUGUACUAAAACAUAUUAUAUUAUAUAUUCAAUGUGUAGAUCUACUCAUCUGAAGUCCAACAAAAUUGAGUUUUCUAUUUUAUAAUUUUUAUGUGAUUCACUUUGAUUUUUGAAAAAAUUCAGCCGAAAUAAAUAAAAAGAAAAAGACAAAACGGAUGUAAUAUGCACGGUUUUAAAAGUUGAGGGAUGUAUUUUGUUCAAUUUUAGGGUUUAAGAAUAAAAAUUAAACUUUUAUGAAAGUUGAGGAACCUAAAAUAAAUUUUAUCCUUUUUUUUGGUCACAUGGGCCAAUUUCUGAGUGGUCGUGUCAGGAGGUAUUGGGCCGGAGCGACGUCCAAAUGCACCCUUACACAUGUAUGAUUUUGUUGAUGUUUUUUUUGAGGAACUUGUAUGUGGAGUCUACAUUCGUUGAAUCAACUAUAUUUAUGUAUAUGUAUAUUUAUGUUUCCUUUAUUUAAAAAAGAACUGUAAGUACCAAAAUAAGAAAUCUAUUCUAGUCGUUGUGUCUACUAGGGUACACUAAUGAGUAAUGUAGGGAAAUAUGCUGUAUAGCACUUCUAAGAGACUAUUUAUAUCUUUCCUAAUUAACAUGAAUAGAGAUUAUGGUAAAAAAAAUACUUCCAACAGCCUCUUCAAUUAGAUAUUUAAAUAUAGAUAUUCUCUAAUCUGAAUUUGUCGCAGCCAAAGAUGAAGACCGAGAAUGGCUCUCUAGAUUGCGCACAAGAUAUAGAAAAAGAUGUUGGAGAAUAUAAAGAUAUAGAGAAAGACUUUUACUCAAAUGACUACACAAAUAAUGAUAAUGAUUUAGAGAGUAGAAUUUAGAAAGUCUCUUGAAGAUGCUCUUAGUUGUCUAUUUAUAACACCACAGUGAUGUGAAAAAAGUGUCGAAACACACUAAAAUCAUUUUUACUUAAUUUUAAUAUCCAACUUUUGUAGUCCAUCCUUUUAAUAUUCCAAAAGAAACACAUUCUAGUUGUUGUGUCUACUAGGUACACUAAUGAGUCGCAAUGUUGAAUGUUCGUAAAAUCUGCUUUAGUUGCCUAUUUAUAACAACAAAUAUAGUGACAUGAAAAGUGUAAAAUCAGUAAAGAAACAUAAAACCAUUUUGACUCAAUUUUAAUAUCGAACUUCCCUUGUUCAUCCUUUAAUAUUAUCUCCGACACAGAAAAAGUUAGAAAGAUACAACAUACAUUUAUUUUGAAAAUUACAUAGUACAUCGUAGAUGUCUACAAUAAGCAUAUACACUCACCUCUAUGAAUAUUGAAUAAUAUACAUAAACCUAACCCCUAUGAGUGUCUCCAAACAACAUAUAUGGAUACUUACCUAGCACAGUUUUUUUUUUCAAACUUAAUAUGUAAAAGGUAAUGUGCAAUCAAAGCAUAGAAUAGUUGACUUCUAAAUUUUUUAAUGGGUAAGAGUAUUACUGUGAUUUAGUUUUUGAAAAUUAUAUGACAUGUAAACAUGAUUUGACUUGACGGGAGCCAAUUAUCUUCUUUGGAAUGCACAAUUUUUAUUUCUAUUUUUUGUGUUUUUCCUGCGAAAAUGAAAGGGUUUGUGUUCCAAAGAGGCCAGUUGCCUGACACGAUGGCUUUGACACUUUUCGUCGAAUAGCUUGCACACACUUUUCCUGCCUCUCACGAGUCACGACGCCGUCGGCCGUCGGCCGUCGCGCGAGAGCUGCCUGCGAGCCUCCGUGCUCUCUAGCGAUCUUAGCAGACCCGCCAUUUCUUGUGCCUUAGCUUCGCCGAUGCGCGGCGGCAAGGGGCCGAGCUUCCCUGCCCGUGUCCCGCGGGCUGGGGUGGCCGCAGAUUUUGCGGACUGCUGCCACAAGAUGAGCUCGCUUCGGAAAGGGGCAGUGGCGGCGCAACGAGGGAGCACUUCGGGUGAGGCGGAACUGGCGGCAGAGAUGCUGACAGUACCGAGCUCCUUCAUCAGUGCGUUCGGUCGUCAUGGCGCCCCUUGCAUCCACCAGUGACACCAGGGUAACGAAAGUACGAAACAGUGUUCUGUUUUUCUUGUCUAUCUAGCGCGGCGUGAGAUUCAGGUUAGAUUUACAUAUAUUGAUAUAGAUAGGAAUUUUUGGUCUAGCAAACUUGGGGAGGGAGCGGGCUAUCUGCCUAGUUCUGUGACAUUGCAGGAUUCAGGAAGUUGGGCAAGUCGCUUAAAACUGCUUGGGAAGGCCUGUAAAAUACUAGGGGCCUGUUUGGAUCACGGCCACAACUCGCCAUGAGUAAAGUUUGGCAGCCACACUAACCUUGGCAGUUGUUUGGUUCUAUUUUUAACCUUAGGCAGCCACAGAAUUCUGCCAUGUCGUUUUCCUCCCAUCGCAUGUCGCUUAGUGCAUGUAGACUGUGGCAAAUUUGUGGCGAGCAUGGCGGCCAAUUUCUCCGCCGCAACCUGUGGCGAGCCGCACUUUGCCGAUGCAUGGCGUGGCUUUGUAUGGCCAUGAUCCAAAGAGGCCCUAGGUCCGAAGUAUCUGUUCUGAAAAAGAAGCAUGCCUAUACCUGUAUUUGUAUGACUGUGAUGCUUCUUACUUUUCAACUCUUGUGACAUGUCAAUAUCUGUGAAUGUCACUAAAAGUUAGGAAUUUAAUAAAUAUAUAGUUCUUAGAAAUUGUUAUUUUGCAAACUGAAUUAAUUUGUUACAUCUCAAUCACCUAGUGUGACUAUAUUUGUUGUUUUUUGUGGAUUUUAAUUCAGGUUUGGAAUAAAAAAUCUUUACCAAUCGUGACAAAUCAAAUCGCGACACAUUUGGUUAUUUUAGUCAGUUAGAUUAGAUUCAGAUCUUUCAGUUCAGCUUAUUCUUGCACAACUAUGAUGGUAUAUUUAGUAUGACUUUUCUCACUAAUUCAUAUUGCAGGCGGUUGUGGGGCUUGUGUUGUCCUUAUAGCAAAGUAUAACCCAGAGACAGAUGAAGUGACUGAAUUUACUGCAAGUUCAUGCCUGACACUUCUCUACAAUAUCAAUUUCUGUUCAAUUAUCACUACUGAGGGUCUAGGGAAUUCCCGAGAUGGCUUUCAUUCUGUUCAGGAAAGGAUGUCUGGGUUUCAUGCCUCUCAGUGUGGCUUCUGCACUCCUGGAAUGUGCAUGUCUAUUUUCACUUCCCUUAUCAAUGCUGAUAAAUCCAAGAGGCCUGAACCACCAAAUGGGUUCUCAAAACUAAAAGUAUCAGAAGCAGAAAAGGCUUUCUCUGGCAACUUGUGCAGAUGCACUGGUUACCGUCCAAUUAUUGAUGCUUGCAAAAGUUUUGCAUCAGAUGUUGACUUGGAGGAUUUGGGACUUAAUAUAUUCUGGAAGAAAGGUGAUAGGAAACCAGAUGUUAGUGACUUGCCACAUUACACUCUUGGUGGCGGAGUCUGCACCUUCCCAGACUUUCUAAAAGCUGAGCUAAAAUCAUCGCUUGAUCACCUGAAUAAUCCUUGUAUUGCAGACUCCAGGGAGGGUUGGUAUCAUCCAAGGAGUAUCAAAGAGUAUUAUGAGUUAAUAAAUUCUUGUUUUUUUAGUGACUCAGUCAAAGUGGUUGUUGGGAAUACUAGUAGUGGUGUACCAGGAUACAAGGAUCAAGACCUCUAUAAUAAGUAUAUUGACAUAGGAGGGAUUCCAGAACUAUCAAAUAUUGUAAGGAGGGAGUCUGGCUUUGAAAUUGGAGCAGCUACACCAAUCGCUAGGACCAUUGAGAUACUUGAGGAAGAAUGUGAAUCUAUAUCCUCUCCAAACGGAAGUGUGGUUUUCAGAAAACUUGCGAACCACAUGAGCAAAGUUGCUACACCUUUUGUUCGUAACACAGCUAGUAUUGGAGGAAACAUAGUUUUGGCACAAAAAUACCCAUUUCCAUCAGAUAUUGCAACCAUACUCCUUGGUGCUGGUGCAACUGUUUGUCUUCAGGUAGUUGCAGAACGGAGACAAAUUACUUUGGAAGAGUUCCUAGAGCAGCCUCCUAUAGAGGCGACUACUUUACUCCUGAGCAUAUUUAUUCCACAUUGGAUUCCAGAUUCUGGGACAAAAACAAGUUUGUUAUUUGAAACUUACAGAGCAGCGCCUCGUCCUCUUGGCAAUGCUGUUUCAUAUGUAAAUUGUGCUUUCUUGGGGCAUGCUUCUGUGGAUGAACAAUCAGAUACUCUUGUAUUGAGUAAUCUGCGCUUGGCUUUUGGUGCAUAUGGAACAGAACAUGCUAUUAGAGCAAAGAAGGUGGAGGACUUCCUUACUGGCAAAUCACUCACUGCAUCGGUUGUACUUGGUGCAAUUCAAUUACUUAGAGAAACCGUUGUACCAAUGGAGGGAACAUCACAUCCUGAAUAUAGAGUCAGUGCAGCUAUUGGAUUUCUCUUCAGUUUUCUAUCUCCGCUUUCUAAAGGCAUCCCAGAGCCUGGAAAGUCUCUGACCAGUAGUUCUGCUGAUUCAGCAGUUACAGAUGAUGUCUGUAACAUGCCAUUAUCAACACGUCGAGAAACAGUUUUCAGUGAUGAAUAUAAACCAGUCGGCGAGCCGAUUAAGAAAUAUGGUGUUGAACUUCAAGCUUCAGGUAUGUGGUUACAUCGUUAGAAUUAUUAGUAUUGUUAUCAAGAUAUUUUCCAGAAUCUCUUUGCAGAGCUAGAUUUGAAGUUUCUAUUGUGCUAUAUACAGGGGAGGCAGUAUAUGUGGAUGAUAUUCCUGCUCCUAAGAAUUGCCUCUAUGGAGAAUUUAUUUACAGCACACAACCCCUUGCUUAUGUCAAAAGUAUAAAAUUCAAAUCUUCUUUAGCAUCAGAGAAGAUCGUCUCUUUUGUUUCUGCAAAGGAUAUUCCAAGUGGAGGACAAAAUAUUGGAUCAUCCUUCUCGUAUGGUGACGAACCACUAUUUGGUGAUCCAGUUGCUGAGUAUGCUGGUCAAGCACUUGGCAUUGUGGUACUUACCCUUUCAUCUUUGUAGUAUACCCAAUCACAGCAAUUAUUGCUGUCUUAAAGAUCUCUAUAAUAGAAGACAAUUAUGAAUAUUAAUGACUAUAAUCAGUAUUGCUAAAUCAUUGCCUCUACCUCAGAUUGCAGAAACACAGAGGUAUGCUGACAUGGCAGCCAAGCAGGUUAUUAUUGAAUAUGACACAAAGGAUUUGGGCCCACCGAUCAUAACUGUGGAACAAGCAGUGGAAAACAGUAGCUAUUUUGAAAUUCCACCAGAAAUGUAUCCUAAAGAAGUUGGUGAUGUUUCCAAGGGCAUGGCAGAAGCUGAUCACAGGAUUCCCUCAACUGAAGUAUUUUAGUUCAACAACCUUUCGGAUUUUUUAAUAAUUUAAUUUCACUUGUGUCAUAAAACAAUGAAUGGAAAUUGAACAAUGGAGUUCUAUGUGCUCCAAAGUUUUAAUUUUCAUCCUGUGUGGAGUCUGCUUUGAACUAUUAUACUGUACAUACUAUUUCAUUAAUACGUCAAUAGACAAAGAAACCUUAUCACAUUUGAGAAGCCAAAUUUUGAGUAAGUCCGCUGAGUAGAAUACUAUCUAAACCAGUACUUCUAAAAGUUCAGGAUUACUGAAUCACUUCUGUAAUGGUCUUCAGUUAUGAUUGAAGUAACAAUUACUGUACCCUAGGUGUAGAACAGUAUUUGUGUUAAAUUAAUAACUAACUAUUGUUGUAUCUGUACUGUUUGCAAUUAGUUUUCCCAUGAAAUUGAUCUGCAGAGUGAAAGUUGCAAAUGCUUGGACACCGCACCCCUUAACCCCACCAUCCAACAUUAUUUCUUGCUUGAUGGUUGUGAUCUUUUGACAGUCCUGAUAUGUGACUUUAGCCAUUAUUUUAACUUUAUGUAAUGUUACAUCACUAUAGUUUAUUGAUUGUGUAAUGUUGGUAACUACUUUUAAUGAUGACACAUUUAGUCACACUUUUUUUUUCUACAUCCAAUUUUUGACUUGAAACAUAUACAUGUUAAAAAAAUUCGUGAUGUUUCACAUGGACUCUAAAUUGUUCUGGUGUAAUUUUAAAAUAUGGAAGUUCAAAAUUGUAGUGAUGCAAUUUUAUGUAAAUUACAUAAUAAGACCCAUCAGUGUACUUUUCACUAGUAUCUAUCCUACUUCCCUUUUGCAUGGAAUCUAAGAGAGCAUAUCUCAUGUAAUUUUGAUGCAGGUAAAGCUUGCCUCUGAGUACUACUUCUACAUGGAAACACAGACAGCACUAGCAGUUCCAGAUGAGGAUAACACUUUGGUAGUUUACAGUUCGUCGCAAUACCCUGAACUUGCACAAAGUGUGAUAGCAAGGUGCCUAGGCAUUCCAUUCAGCAGUGUGCGUGUCAUUACAAGGAGGGUUGGAGGUGGCUUCGGUGGAAAGGCAUAUAGAUCAUUCCAAGUGAGAAUACACAAAAGUAGAUCAUAAUAACCGAAAUCUUCCUUUUUAUUAAAACUAAUUAAUAUUAAUAUAAAAGCUUUGCCCUGAAACAGCAUUUAUUGUACUUCUGUAUCAUUUUUAACUUGUGAUGAGGUCAUUGCAUGCUAGAACUAGUGGUGUCAAUUUUCUAAAAUAUCUUUAUUACUAUUCACUUAAGAGAAUUUUCCUUAGACUUGCUGUCAUGGGUCUAAACAGGUCCUCGAGGAGUUAAUUGCAAUACUUCUUUUCUCAUUUGGUUAACUUCAUUGUUAGUUGUACUAUAUGUCUACCAUUUUCACAUAAUAUUUGGAAAAUAGGAAAUCCAUUUAGGCCUAAUGGACAAUCUAUAUUCAUUUAACCACGUGCUUUUACACCAACAUGCAAAUGCAUCUAACUUUGACUAUUUAUCUGGGCUUCACAAUACAAAGUCCCUAGCGCAAAAUCAAAUUAACUCUCAAUGUUCUUUUGAAGAUAUGUCCCAACAAAUUUAGACUUAAGUUUACAUAUAUUUACAUAUGUGAUGCUUAUAUAUAAUAAUCUAAUAACAAUAUCGUGAAUUCAUAAAGACCUAGUAUACAUUACCUGCUUUCUUUCAAAAAAAAAACCCUGCUGUUUCUUACCGAUAUGUUACAUACCCGUGCAGGUUGCAACUGCAGCUGCGCUUUGUGCAUACAAGUUACGACGUCCUGUACGAAUGUACCUUAAUCGCAACACUGAUAUGGUUAUGGUUGGUGGUAGACACCCAGUGAAAGCUCAUUAUUCCGUUGGAUUCAAGUCUGAUGGGAAAAUUACAGCCUUGCAUCUAGAUUUAUUAAUUAAUGCUGGGAUAUCUCCAGAUGCAAGCCCCAUUAUACCAGAUGCUAUUAUAUCUAGUGUCAAAAAGUACAACUGGGGUGCUCUGUCAUUUGAUAUCAAGCUCUGCAAAACAAAUAUUUCAUCUAAAUCUGUAAUGCGUGCUCCUGGAGAUACACAAGGCUCUCUAAUUGCAGAUGCUGUAAUUGAGCAUGUCGCGUCUGCCCUUUCACUGGAUGCUAACAGUGUGAGGGAAAAGAAUUUUCACACUUAUGGUACUCUUCAGUUGUUUUACCCAGAUAGUGCAGGCGAAGCUUCUACGUACACAUUGCAUUCUAUUUUUGAUAGGUUGAUCUCAACUUCAAGCUACCUGGAUCGAGCUGAGUCCAUAAAGGAAUUUAACAGUAACAACAAGUGGCGGAAACGGGGCAUCUCUUGUGUGCCACUCAUUUUCAAAGUUGAUCCGAGGGCAGCCCCUGGAAGAGUUUCCGUGCUCAAUGAUGGCUCCAUAGUGGUGGAGGUUGGAGGAAUUGAAAUCGGGCAAGGACUGUGGACUAAAGUACAGCAGAUGACUGCCUUUGCUCUGGGAAAAUUGUGGCCUGAUGGGGGUGAAAGUCUUCUUGAGAGAGUGCGUGUUCUACAAGCUGACACCUUGAACUUAAUACAAGGCGGACUUACUGCUGGCAGCACUAGUUCUGAAUCUAGUUGUGCAGCAACUCUUCAGGCAUGUAAUAUGCUGAUUGGCAGAUUGAAACCAGUCUUCGAUAGGCUGCAGCAGCAAUCAGAAAAUGUCUCGUGGGAUACAUUGAUUUCUCAGGUGAGUUUAUCCUCCUCUAGUUUUCGCUCAUGCUGAGUACAAUAUUGUUGCCUUCUGUAAUGUAAUGUUUCCAAGCAGGCUUCUAAAGACAAUGUUAAUUUAUCUGCGAGCACGUACUGGGUACCUGGUAAAGUUUCUAAUAAGUACCUGAACUAUGGAGCUGGUAUAAGUGAGGUGUGCCAAAAUUCUCAAGACUAAUUUGCAACAGCGGAGUUAAAUCAUGUUUGUAUGUCUUAUAGGUGAUACUCUUUCUAUUCGAAUCUUCUGAAAGUGCAGGUGGAGAUUGAUCUUCUUACAGGAGCAAUUACUUUACUAAGGGGUGAUCUUGUGUACGACUGUGGGAAGAGCAUGAACCCUGCUGUGGACUUAGGACAGGUUUGCCAUUGAUCCUUUCCUGCUUCCUAUCUUAACCAAUUUUAAUUCUUAAUGUAGUUCAUUGAUUUAUAGACCAUAAGUUUGGACUGGAUGAGGACUAUAAUUAAAUACACGCAAAAUAUGAAGCAGAUUUUCUGUUCAUUGUUUGAUGUAGAUUAGAGAGUUAACUGACAUGCUAACAAUGAGAUGCAACUCACCGAUAGAACUAACAUUGAGCUAUUUCAGCAUUUCCCUUGUCAAGAGUUUGUUGUGCUCCAUACUUAUCUUUUUGAACCUAUGUUCAAAAUAGCGGGAUUUAGCGUCUGAGCAUUGCUGGCGCUAGGCUUUCACGUUUCUAGCACUAGAAUCUUUCAGCCGCUAAUAACUGCUAAUAGCGCGUUAAAUCCGCUAAACUGACCUCUAUUUAGCGCCGCUAUUGGGCCAAAUCAGCUCGUGCGAACUCCCUUAGCCCAAAAUCGCAAGCAUCCAGUCUAUCAUGAGGCUGUAUAGAGCCGGCGGCGAGUAACCCUAUCCAUUCCUCUCUAAAUGUCGCGAAGAAAAACGCUAGUGGCAAUGGCGCCACUGCGUCUGGCGGCGUCGACGGCUACAACCUGGCAUGCUAGCUUGAGAGCAAGGGCAGAGGACCGGGGCAGAUGACCAUGAACGACGGUAGUUGCUAGCUUCUUUCUUCUCCAGCUGCAUGAUUGGCUUUCGAGUUCCGUUUGUUCUCUGUUCUUUACUUUUUUUAAUACUUAAAUUGUAAUGUCUGGAUAUGUACGAACUAUGAAGCUCUGAUGUGUUAGUAAGACUUACUAUCUAUCACUAGUUAGAUAUUAGAUGGUAAUUGGUAUUUGUAAUGUCUUUGUCUUCUAUGUUUAUUAUGUGUAAAGUUACCUAAUGCUUAUAUAUUUCUUUGCUCAACCGCUAAAUGACUUAGCCUACUAUAGCCUUUCUUAGCUUUUGAGAAAGCCAGCCGCUAAGAGGCUUAGCCCGCUAUUUAAAACUUUGUUUUGAACAUAUAAAGCCAAAGGACUUUAGCCAGGUGGUUAGAGCUUUCCUGUGGCACACCCCUGAGUUCGACUCCUCAUGGGAGCGAAUUUUAGGCUAGGGGUAAAAAAAAUCCCCUCGCUGUGCCACCCUGUGUGGGACAGCCCGGCCUGUGGCAACAGUGGUGGCUCAACCUGGGGGUUGUGGACUUGUGGCAGUGGUCGCUGGUCCAGGCUACCGUCUGCUUCACGGGUGAGGCUGGGGUACCAAGACUUUCUUCUUAGUAUAAAAACUGUGGGGCAGUCUUUCCCCACCGGCUGAGUUAUUUUUUAAAACAUAUAAGUACAACUAAGUACAGGCAAAGGGUUUUGCAACAUAUCUAGUGCCUCAUUGGGCUCGUGUACAUUAAUUUGAUGGCACCAUAUCUUAUCCAUGGAAUUUAUCUUGCAGAUUGAAGGUUCCUUUAUAAAGGGAAUUGGGUUUUUCGUAUAUGAAGAGUAUCUUACAAACAGUGAUGGCCUCAUGAUUAGCAACAGCACAUGGGACUACAAGAUCCCAACUGUCGACAUAAUCCCAAAACAGUUCAAUGCUGAGGUGCUGAACACUGGAUACAAUAAGAACCGUGUGCUUUCUUCCAAAGGUAGUCACUUUAGUUAUUUCGUCAUUGCAGUAUAUAUUGAAGUAGGCUUGGUACAUACCAAUCAAUUUGUACUGUUUCUGCCAGCUGCUGGUGAACCUGCCUUGGUUCUUGCCUCAUCCGUUCAUUGUGCACUGAGAGAAGCUAUCCGAGCAGCGAGAAUGGAGUUUGCAAACAGCACUGUAUCUGGACGCUCACCGCUGGAAUUCAAGAUGGAUGUCCCUGCACCAAUGACGCUGGUGAAACAACUAUGUGGUUUAGAUAUUGUGGAGAAGUACCUAGAAAGUCUAUCUACCUAGAAAGGAGUGGUAUCAUCUUUGUUGUUGUAGUUUGCAAUAAAACAGAAAGGAGGAAGGAGGAUUUCCAUUUCCCUCAAUGGAAAUAGGGUUUCCUCGUGUGGAAAGGAAGGAGGGAGGUGUUAAAUUAGCACAAUAUUUGAAUAAUGCUUUCAACCAUCUGUAUUCAUAUGACUCUUAAGACCAACCACCUUUCUCUCAUUGACAUGAACAUUGGGUUGUAUAUCAGAUGCAUAACCAGCAGGAAACUUUACCACUUUUAGCACUUGACAAAAUAACUUUUUCUCAUCAGGACACACUGAAUAUGGUGCAGGUGGUAAAUACAAUUGGUCUUCAAGUUCAACAGGGUGGAGAUCAUUUCUAAUACCUAGAGUUUGAAGGUCUAAGCGAGAAUUCAGAUUAUCCUUAGAUUUCCCAUCAGUACCCAAGAAUGUAUUGACAAAUUUCUCAUACACAUUCUUCCCUAUAUGCAUGACAUCAAAAUUAUCCCGCAGGCAACAUCAAAUCUUUCCAAUAUGUUUGAACCAAAUAGAUCUCCUUUUGAAAAUGACUAAUGGCUCCCCUGCCUUGGGUCUCUUGGUUGCUGGUUUCUUUCUAGAUGGAUCCUUUCCAAAAAUUGCAACAAUAUCUUUAGAAUUUUUUCCCUAGAAAGAGGAGUAGGUGCUGUCCUAAGUUCAGUUGAACCAAAUUUAUGGACAUCAAGCCUAAAUGGGUGAUUCUCGGGCAGAAACCUACGAUGACCCAUAUAACAUGUCUUGCUGCCAUUACCUAGUCUAAGUGAACAUGUAUAGGAGUGGCAAUGUGGACAUGCUGCUUUACCGGAUGUUACACAUCCAAAUGCAUAGCCUAGACCAAGAAAAUCAGUAAUUGUCCACAAUACUGCUGCACGCAAUUGGAAGUGCUCACGCUUCGAAGCAUCAUAAGAAGUGGCUCAAAAUAAAUAUCCAUAUCACUACCAGGAGCAUGCCGUCUAGGAAUCAAUAGAGAAAGGAUGAAAUUUGAUUGCUUCAUACACAUUGAAGAUGGAAAAUUAUAGGGAAUACAUAUGCCAGGACAAAUGCUAUAGCUACUAUUUUGGGAUCUAUAUGGGUUGAAACCAUCAGUGGCAAAUGCAAGUCGGAUAUUGCGGCUAUCUACAACAAACUCUGGAUGAUUUACAUCAAAGUCUUUCCAUAGAGGAGAAUCUGCAGGAUGCCUAAGAACACCAUCUCUUGUUCUGUCCUCAUCAUGCCAUCUUGUUAGACUUGCUAUUUUAGAAGAUAGAAACAAUCUUUGGAGACUUUUCUUUAUUGGAAAGUAGCGAAGAACUUUCUUAGGGACCUUAUAUACAUGUUUUCCAUCUAGACUCUUCCUAACUGACUUCCACCUAGAAACCUUACAUUUUGGACAUGACUUGGAUUUUUCAUGCUUCUUUUGAUAGAGGAUGCAAUCAUUUUUCACAAGCAUGAAUGCUAAUGUAACCAAGUCCUAUGGAUUUGAUCAAUUUCUUAGCUUCAUAGAACUUUCUAGGCAAUGCAGAACCCUUAGGUAAUGCAUCAUUUAACAGAUCAAGUAGAAGGUCAAAACUUCUAUCGGUCCAUCCUCCAAGGAGUUUGAUGGGAAGUACCCUAAUUAGGAAGCACAAUUUUGUAUACUUCUUGCAAGUAGGGUACAACUCUUGACUAUUGGCUUCUUCCAACCUCUGAAGGGCAAGUAGCUCAUCACUAGGCUGAAAAGAACUGUUGUCUUCAAAAUCCCCUCUAUCAUCUAAACCACAAGCUAGAUCUCUAAGCAAUUCAGAUACAUCAUCUUCUUCAGUGGACUGUUCAAUAAGAUCAACAUCAACAUUAUUUCUAUGAUUCUCAUAAGAUGUACUUUCUUCUCCAUGUAAGUUCCAUGUUGUGUACCCUUGUAUAAACCCAUCGCAUAUUAGGUGCUCACGUACAUCACUAGCCUCUCUCCAAAAUGAGUUAAAUACAUUUUCUACAAGGACAUAAUAUCUUGUCCCCUACUGCUGAAUUUCUAAAUGCAAAAGCUAGAAAACCGUUCACCCCUUGUAAAUAUUUCUUUGUGUGCCUACAUGCAGGGAUGAAAACAGUACAGAUAUUUUGCGACCAUAUUCGAGACCAAAUUCGUUUAGGGGGUUCAGAUCUGUCCGUAUUCGAAUCCGAAUAAUCAACAUCUGAUACCGUAUCCGUAUCCGAAUACUUAAAUCGUAUAUUUAUGAUGUCGACAUCUAAUCCUAUCUUAUCCAAAAUGGUUGACAUUAUCCGUAUUCGAAUCCGAAUCCGACCAGAAAUAUAAAAACAAAUAUGGUAUCGGUGAUAUCCGUUCAUAUCCGAUCCGUUUUCAUCCGUACCUACAUGGAAUGUAUUAUGUAAAAUCUCAUGGUCACUACAAAACACUUUUUAAUAUUUGUAAAGUAGUUGUGUUGUACCUAUGCUCAUUAUUAAUCCAUGUUUUAUCCAUACACCUUUACAGGAAGGUCACACCACGCUCAGAUUAAAUCUUUUUGGAGAGAAUACAACCACACAACAUAAGCUUUAAAAAAAAGCAAUGUGACAUCAAGUGAAUGGAACUCGAGAAACAAAAUCAUACUGUUGCGCAAAGCUCCGACAUCCAACAACUAUGAAUAUUGUAGUUCUACAAAAAAAGUUCAAACUUCUUGCAGCUACAGGUUUUGCUCCUGCGAAGGUAGUAUGCAUCAGAUAUAAAUUAUCAAGAAAUAGAGACAACAGGGCAACAGGCCAACAGUCCUAGUGUUGUAGUGUUUGCUUAAUAAAUACAGAUUAGUUUCUUCCUAUAUGGCCAUCAAACUGAACAUAUACAGUCCCCUGCAUUCUCUUGUUCCUUACUAUUUAUGAUCAUUGUACAUGGUCACCAGUACAUACACCCUGUACCCUAUGUGUAACAGGUACCAAGAGAUAACAUAAAGAAUUUUGCUAAUACCAUGAAAAUACAGAAAUAAAAGGAAACUACAUAAGGAUGGAAGGAAUAUAAUAGAAUCACAAACAAGAAAGGAUAGGCUACAGACCUGAAGAACCCAGAUGCUCACAAGUGUCUCCAAGCAAAACAAGGCAAAUCUGAUCAGACAAAGUAAAGAUCUGAAAGGGAAAAUGAUUUAAUGUCAGAUUUUUCACUUUUUACCUUCUAAAUUGAAAUGAAAACACAUUCCAUAAUAAAAGCAACAAAUCGUGGCUUACAGUUUAACAAGAUGCAAACUCAAACCAAAUGAAGCAAAAAAGGACAUACCAUGGCUGUGCAGUGAAGACUCGAGGGAGGGGAUGGUCUGAAGGUGGCGUCCUGGUGCCGGCAGACGGCCUGGCAGGUCUGGGUGCCCUGUGCCCUGGUCGUGCGGCCGUUGAGGGGACUGGUUUGUGCCCCUUCGCCCUGCACCCCCUGCCGUGUCCGUUCGCCCCGCGCCUCGCACCCCCUGUUGUGCCCCUUCGCGGCUUCAGUGGAGGGGACUGGCUGAGGAGAUUGGCUAUGGAGGAGAUCGUCUGGCUGAGGGUGUAGAUCCUCGCUCGUGGAGGGAAUUGGCUGGGCUGCAGGACUGGGCUGGGCGGUGGUGGCUUAGGAGCUCAGUUGAGGAUAGGGUUUGGCCUGAGCCCUGCUAGUGGGAUUUGGGGGCAAUUUGUGUGGCGUGGGACUUGGUGAGAGGAGGGAAUCCACGGUGGAUUGGAGUUUUCGUGGAGGC